AGCGAACGCUGGCGGCAGGCUUAACACAUGCAAGUCGAGCGGGCAUAGUAAUAUGUCAGCGGCAGACGGGUGAGUAACGCGUGGGAACGUACCUUUUGGUUCGGAACAACACAGGGAAACUUGUGCCAAUACCGGAUAAGCCCUUACGGGGAAAGAUUUAUCGCCGAAAGAUCGGCCCGCGUCUGAUUAGCUAGUUGGUGAGGUAAUGGCUCACCAAGGCGACGAUCAGUAGCUGGUCUGAGAGGAUGAUCAGCCACAUUGGGACUGAGACACGGCCCAAACUCCUACGGGAGGCAGCAGUGGGGAAUAUUGGACAAUGGGCGCAAGCCUGAUCCAGCCAUGCCGCGUGAGCGAUGAAGGCCCUAGGGUUGUAAAGCUCUUUUGUGCGGGAAGAUAAUGACGGUACCGCAAGAAUAAGCCCCGGCUAACUUCGUGCCAGCCGCCGCCGUAA
rnacentral:rRNA from 1 species